AGGGAUGUGAACCAAGGAGUUGUGGAGGAAGCGGUCUCUACAGAAGGCAGAGAGGAGUGGAGAUGGGAAAAUGGGGCUCUAUAGACCUGCGCUGAUUUAGUAGUUGCAGGCUAAUUUUGAGUUUUGGCUGCAGUUGAUUUUAAGAUAGAGAGUGAACUGGGAAUUUCCCACAUAUGAGACUUGGUCAUGAGUGAAAUGCCAAACAGGAGCUCAAAGACUGGAAAGUUAAAAGAUAAAUUGCCUUUAAAUUUGAGAACAGAUAUAUAUAUUCUGCAGAUGUGAAUUGGAAACUAGACACUGGGGUCUUAUUAAAACACUUUCCAGGAAAUUGUAACACAUUAAACAUUGGAAUGCCUUAUCCUUUUGAUGUCUGCAGUGUCUAGGCUUCCUAGAGUUCACACUUAGAAUAAUCUUCAAUGCAAUUGGCAGCUCUGAUGGGCAACCCCUGCGUAGAGGACGGACCCACAGGUCAAGACUUGAACAUCCUGUCCAUUGGCAGCACAAAGCCAAACAUCAGAGGUCAGCAUGCUAAGUGUCAGAGGUCAACGUGGAAGAGCUGGAGUGGAAGGGAGGCUUGUGGCUAGUUUGCAAAUUAAAAAUAAAGCCAUCAGCAUUCAGCAGGGGCUGUUGAGAUGGGAACACGAGUGUGUCGGUAUCCCAGGGCACUGCAUUGUGCUUGAUGUUGUUUGUAUAGCAGUAUUGAUGCAUCACUCGAGAAGUAAACUAGAGACUGGCAGUCUGGGGAUGGAGCCUUUGACACAAUGGGAGUUUGAAGUAUAUGGCCGCGAUGGCUGGACUCGGAUAAUCGCCCAUCCCCAUCACUCGAAGCACGUGUACCAGGAAACACCAGGGGACGGCGAGAGCUGUAAAUGAGGCUGAUUGUCUCAGAGAAGAUGCCAAGUGGAACAGGAAAUGCCUGGAACAUGAAGAGCUUCGAGCAGCCAGAUAACAUGUGCCUCACUUCCAGUAAAAAACACAGAAUGUCCCCAAAUCUGGUGGAAAAUAACGUACUUCUCAACACCAGGACAUGUUUAAUGGCAUUUCUAUUUUAGAACCCUGGUAUUUAUUCAUUUAACAAAUACAUUUUGUGCACACCACAGACCAAUUGUGCUGAGAUCCAAUUUUUUUGUUAUUUGUUUAUUUUACAAUAAUAGGACUGACUGAGAUAAUUCUUAAAAUGGAUGCUCUUGUCAAGGAAGGAGUUUGACUACAUAAUUGUCAUUGAACUUCAUUUUGCCCCUGAGCUAAGCAUUGAUCGCGUAUCUGCACUGCUGCUGAAACUGCCCCCUUCCAGCUCGGUAACAUCAGCCCUUCUCUCUUCUUUAAUUGUUUGCUGCGCCCACAUCCUGACUCGCAGUGGCUUGUGCAGAAGCACACCUUGUGGCGCGGUGCUGGAUAUGGUAGAUCUGCUGCCUCACAGCGCUAGAGACUCGGCCUCAAUCCUGACCUCGGGCGCUGCCUGCGUGGAGUUUGCACGUACUCACUGAGGGAGAAUGGGUGCUCCGGUUUUCUUCCAGAUCCCCAAAACAUGCAGGUUUGUAGGAUAAUUUGCCUCUGUAUACAGCCGGUAGUGUGCAGGGAAUGGAUGUGGAAGUGGGAUAACCACUAGGACUAGUGUGAAGAGUUGACCAAUAGCCAGCGUGGUCUCGGUAGGCAGAAGCUGUCCUGCUGUCACAAUAAACUAAACUUCAGUCCAUCUGAACAUCAAACAUUAUCCAAUCUCAGCAUUUAAAUGGAUGGCUGCACAUUUUGUUUCUCCAUCACAUUCUACGUUCUGGCUCACACACACUCAAAUUGUUUAAUUUCCCUUGAAACCUUGUUUCAAACCUCCAGUUCAGAAUCCUCAUGACUGACAUGCAUGAGGAAAGCUGUGGAUGACGUCAGGUGCCUGUACAUCCCUGGGCCAGGGGCCAAAACCCUUCUUUCUGGUCCCUUGAUCUCCUUCCUAUCAAUGAAGUCCUGCUGAAUCAGAGUUGAUAGCCAUUUCAGUGUCUGUGAACUGUCCAUCCACCCUGAAUUUGGAUCUGACACGUCCUGGUUGAUGGGAUGAUGCUCUCUGCUCCUGCACGUGGCCGCAGACUGCUCUGCCAUCCAAUUGGAAGCCACGCACCUUCAUUGAGUUGAGUUCACUUGCCAUUAAAGGUCACAGCAUUGGACGGCAAAGUCACGUGGUACAGAAAUCAGGACACAGGUCCAUGUUCACCCUCUUCACACCAGCCUCAAACGUCUGGUUUCACUGCGGACCUUUCUACAAAUACUUAAGGGCCUGUCCAACUUGGCUGCCUUU